AGAUGAGGAUGCAACUCACGAGUCACCCGAUCAAAUCACUUUACCAUUGAAUUAGGUCAAUUAGUUAAUUUUGUGUCAGAAUAAUUUCUAGUAUAUGAGGGCCUUGGUGAGAUUUUAAGAAAACAGAAAAAUCGGCCCUGAAAUUAAUUUAAAUUUAAAAGAAUAUGGAUUUAAAAUGGUGCUAAAUUAUAAAAUAAAGGAAAAUCAAAUUAUGGGCGACAAUGAUUAAAAAAUAAAUAUUUGAUAAUCCCAUUCUAAGCAUUCAAACCCUCAUUUAUAACCGUUGACAUGUUCCCCUACGACUAUGUUCAUUGACUUUGGUACUAAACAAAACAAAAUAUGCAUUUAUAUAUUAUAGUGCAC
rnacentral:lncRNA from 1 species